rnacentral:rRNA from 1 species
UACGGAGGGUGCAAACGUUGCUCGGAAUUAUUGGGCGUAAAGCGCACGUAGGUGGUCUACUAAGUCAGGUGUGAAAGCCCUGGGCUCAACCCAGGAAGUGCACUUGAAACUGAUAGGCUUGAGUAUGGAAGAGGGUCGCGGAAUUCCCGGUGUAGAGGUGAAAUUCGUAGAUAUCGGGAGGAACACCAGUGGCGAAGGCGGCGACCUGGGCCAAUACUGACACUGAGGUGCGAAAGCGUGGGGAGCAAACAGG